UUGUUCCUGUGUCCCUGGCACAUAAUAGGUGCUUAAUAAUUUGCAGGUAGUAGCUGCCUGGAACUUCCCUGGAAUCUGGAUCAAAAUGAGCUAUUCCAAAACAAAAACAAAAACAAACAAACAAAGAAACAAACACAAAACCAAAAAAAACAAAAAUCACCUUCUGUCUCAUCCUCUUUGAAAUUGCCCUAAAUUUCUCAGGAGGGGUGACAAAGAUAUGUUACACAUAAAAGAAAGAAUUCAAACUAGUCUGCAGGGGGAAGUAAAAGGAAAUGCAUUGGGAGAUGACUGGACAAGCUCAUGAAUUGACAGCAGAGGGAAAAGACAGUGACAGACCUGAGUCCCAGGAGGAUCCUGAUGGCAUUCCCAGAGGACUCCUCUUCAUGCCUCUUUUCUGAAUCUCUCCAUGUGAUGUUUCUCAUUAAGACUGGAUUUCCUACACUGUGGAAAACACUACCAAUAACUCCUAACGUCUACCUCUUAGAGAUUCAG
rnacentral:lncRNA from 10 species